rnacentral:lncRNA from 1 species
UCAAGGCAAGGCCAUUCAAAUUUAAAUGUUCAAAUGCUGAAGUUUGAAAGGAAAUCAUUAUUGCUUGAGACAUAAGUUACACAUAUACAUUUAUUUCCCAAAGGCCAUUUUUCAUUAUCAGAGCAUCUAAUUACAUUACCUAAACCCAAAUUACAAAUUCCAUACAAAAAUAUACACUUUUGACUUAUAUUUGAUUUUUUGGUCAACCACUAAGCCUAACCCUAAAUUCCCAUUUUUCUUCAUUCAUAAGUCAUGCCCUUCUUUGUGCCUCCAAGUCUUUGUUGAUUUGCCUUGAACAUGGUGCAAAAAAGCCUUGGUCAUUCCACCUUGUGCACCUUAAUCCCACAAGUCCUGCAAAAGUAGUUCAUCCAUAAUUAGAAAAAACCAAGGCAAUGCAACAUAACAUAACAAGUGAAUAAUCAUUACAUUCAAUCUAAGCAAGUAGCAGCAUGUAUGUUUUCCUUUUAACGACUUAACAACCAUUAACUUCCAAUUAUAAUAAGCAUUACAUUCAUCCUAACAUUCAUUAGCAUUCACUAAAUAAUCACUAAAUAGUAACCAACUAUAAACCUUCGAACAACCUUGCUAACAAUAAAAACAUCCUGAAUCUAAUUCAAACAUUUUAUAACAAGCCUAACAGAUUUAACAUAAGCUAAUUCAUUUUAAUUGUUUGCUUUUAACAUUUCAAAUUUAAAAAACAGACUAACAUAAUCCUUUAAUAAAAAACCCUAUGCUAACAUUUCCACUCAUAAAUUUAAUAUUUCCAUAACCACCUAACAAUAAUUCCAACUAUAACCAGUAAGAUACUAAUUGAUUUCACUAGUUCAAACUCGACUAAUUAACUUAUAAAAUGCAUAACCAACAUAGGUCAAUUUCUUUUUACAUCAGCAAUUAACAACAGUUAACUAAAAUCAGUUUUAGACAAUAGGCUAACUUCAACAGAGUAUCCAAACUAACUCAUCUGAAGCUAACCAUUAAACUAACGGAAUUUCAGUUAACUAAUUUAACCUAUACUAACUACCAAUUUAACUAACAAAUCCAAGCUAACGCAAUGGGCAAUUUAACUGAUUGAUCAAAAACAAUUCCACAUAAAAUAACUGAAAUAAUAUAAAUUAACCAAAUACAAAGGAUGAACUGACUGUAAUUAAGGACUCAUUGGACUGAACUAAACAAAGCUCAUAAUAGUGAACUGACUGUUAACAUACUAACAAUCUAAUCUAAUUGAAACUCAACUAACUAAAUUUAAUAGCAUCUAACAGAAGUGAUAACUUCCAACCACCCUUCAACUGAAAAAUCUUAACAGAGUUAGAGUGCUCUAACCUCUGCCUUAGUUGCUCAUUUUUGUUAGCACCAUUACCACCUAUAAAUUCACUAUUGAUCACUCUCCAAAAGAUCCUUCAAUCACUUUCCAAUCACUGUAAAAUCAUCCUGAUUCAUUGCAUAAAACCUAUCAAAAAAUCUCUACAGAAUUCAAAAUCAUUUUCCUUCUCAACCAAGCUCACUUCUCCGAAACAUUGAGGGUUCUCAUUCUCUAUGAACCUCUCACUCUUCAUCACUCAUCACUUAACAUCACAUAGAAACAGCAACAACAACAAACUUAGAAGGCACGAUAAGAAGGAAGAGGAAGAAGGUUUGAAUAUUAUUCAAAAGUUUAGCAAGGAAUCAGAAAUCACGUUACUUGAACCUCUGGAUUUCUUUGACGAACACCACGUUUGAAGAGCCGUCAGAACUACUCUGGCAUGUAAGAUUCCCACCUCUUCCCACUUACUUUUUUUUAGGGUUCACACAAUUUUGGAUCAAUUCAAAUUGGUGGUCACAAAUUAGGGACAAUUAGGUUGGUAUUAUGGAAGAAGGCUUAAAAAUGAGCAUUUUAUGGGGGUUUAGCUCAUCUUCAUCGCCUCCGGCGCAGAGGAGUAUCAUUCCGGUGACUGAGGAAGUAAAAGAACGAGAGGGAGCAUGGCUGACUUUGAAAGAUUAAAUGGACAAUGUUUUGAACUUUGUG